rnacentral:rRNA from 1 species
ACCUGGUUGAUCCUGCCAGAAAUAUAUGCUUGUAUAAAGAUUAAGCCAUGCAAAUGUAAGAAUGAAGUACUCGUCUUACUUAAUCUGUGAAGCAUUUAUUAUAAAAGUUAUAAUUUAUUUGAAUGUGGGAACUUAAAACAGUUCCAAAUUUAUGUGGAUAACUGUGGGAAAGCUAGAGAUAAUACAUGCAAAAAGAGGAAACCUUAGCAAUAGGGAAUCCUUGUAUUAACUGGCCAUUUUAAGGAGUGCAAUCUUUUUGAUGAAACACAGUUUACUAAUAACAGAGCCUAGCAAUAGGCCGCUUCAUUCAAAUCUCUUAUCUAUCAACUAUUAUCCGUUGCCUAGAGAGGAUCGCGGAGGUUUUGACGGGUGACAGCGAAUAUGGGUUUUAUUCUGGAGAGGGAGCCUUAGAAAUAGCUACCACUUCCAAGGAAGGCAGCAGGCGCGAAAAUUACCCAAUAAAAAUACUUUGAGGUAGUGACAAUAAAUAACGACUACGUAAAAACCAGGGUAGAAAUACUCUUAUUUGUCGAUUGUAAUGAGUACAAUUUAAAUAAAUUAAUUAGAAUCAACUGGAGGGCAAGUCUGGUGCCAGCAGCCGCGGUAAUUCCAGCUCCAGUAGCGUAUAUUUAAGUUGUUG